UACGUAGGGUGCGAGCGUUGUCCGGAAUCAUUGGGCGUAAAGAGCUCGUAGGCGGUUUGUCACGUCUGCUGUGAAAUCCCGAGGCUCAACCUCGGGCCUGCAGUGGGUACGGGCAGACUGGAGUGCGGUAGGGGAGAAUGGAAUUCCUGGUGUAGCGGUGGAAUGCGCAGAUAUCAGGAGGAACACCGAUGGCGAAGGCAGUUCUCUGGGCCGUAACUGACGCUGAGGAGCGAAAGCGUGGGGAGCGAACAGG
rnacentral:rRNA from 1 species